CUACCUUCUAACCGUACAACAAGAGCCAAGGGGAAGGAACAAGGCACGUAAGAAUUAAAACGCCGGUGAACGGCGAGAAAGUUUGGUGUAUCCACAAGUUUUAGCCUUUUUGUACUUUAAUUCAACCAGUGGAAGAUUAAGAAAAUAACAUGGCUGUGAACGUUUACUCCACAUCUGUGACCGGCGACAACCUUAGUCGCCAUGAUAUGCUUUCUUGGAUCAACGAGUCUGUACAGAUGAACUACGCCAAGAUUGAGCAGUUGUGCUCAGGUGCCGCUUACUGUCAGUUCAUGGACAUGCUUUUCCCUGGAUGCAUCCCUUUGAAGAAGGUAAAAUUUCAGGCAAAACUAGAGACUGAGUUCCUCCACAACUUCAAACUUCUGCAGACCAGUUUUAAGAAGAUUGGGGUUGACAAGAUCAUUCCUGUGGAUAAAUUGAUAAAAGGCAAGUUCCAGGACAACUUUGAGUUUGUGCAAUGGUUCAAGAAAUUAUUUGAUGCCAACUACGAUGGAAAGGAGUAUGACCCACUUGGUGCUCGCCAGGGCCAGGACACUGCUCCUACGCCCAACCCAGGGCAGGUCGCAUCCAAGCCAAGAAAGCCCACCACUGUACAGUUCCACAGCUCCCCACCUCUUUAUCAGACCAGCGGCGAGAGUCGCUCCCACGAGGUCUACAACGGCAGUUACCAAACCCCCGCCCAGGUCAGCAGGGAGUGCCUUGCGGAGGCCCGGGGGGGCAGAGGACGUGGAGAGGGUGGAGCUAGCCCAGGAGGUCAGUUCCCUGAAGGCCACUGUCCAGGACAUGGAGAAAGAGAGAGACUUUUAUUUUGGAAAGCUGAGGUCCAUUGAGGUCAUCUGCCAAGAAGUGGAUGGAGAGGCAGAUACGACGAUGCAGAAGAUUAUGGAUGUUCUAUACGCCACUGAUGAGGGGUUUGUUAUUCCUGAUGCUGAAGGAGAAGAACCAGAAGAGUUCUGAUGAAAAUGGACACAACUGCAGUUCAUACCUUAAUCACACACUUUUCAAUACACACACACACACACACGUUUGCAUGUGCAACGUUCAUACGCACUCUUUGGGUCUAAUGAACAUGCACUUACUCACACUGUGGAUUAAGUUGCCUCUGGAUUAUACACUGCCUGCCACCUUGGUCCAACUGUUUAUUGGACCAAGUGUUUUUUUGUUUUUUUUGGACCAUAAAAUACAUUUCAGAGACCCUGCUGAUCCAUCCGCCAGAGAAGAAGAACCCUGGAUAAAAUUCCAAUGGGUCCUUAUUUUCUGGGGGUUUUCUGCCUUGUUCUUAUUCUGGCCUUUUCUGUGCCUUUAAAUUUAGGCCUGUUACUUUUGAAAUAUGUUCAGGUUGUCUUUUUAUUCCUUAUAUAUUUCCAAUUGACAUAAACAGUACUGUACUAGAUUAUUUUGAUAUGAUAUUUGCAAAUAUGAGUCAUUCUUAAAUAUAUAUAUGAAUGUUUACUCUGCCAAUUGAAAUGAUUGUCAUUUCUAUGGUAUGUUUACACACAUUCAUUAUAUACUUAAGAGUUAAAAUUUGUGGUUUAGGCGAUCAGCAUUUGUAUUUAGUUUGUUUUUAUCUCCGCAGGUAUUCAUCACAUUACUUAUUUGAUUUUUUUCAAUGAAAUUAAGUGUUUUUAUUGAGCACCUUAAAUAAAAAAAAGAAUGUACUUCUUACUUAAAAGCAAAA